rnacentral:rRNA from 1 species
GCCUACGGGAGGCAGCAGUGAGGAAUAUUGGUCAAUGGCCGGAAGGCUGAACCAGCCAAGUCGCGUGAGGGAUGACGGCCCUAUGGGUUGUAAACCUCUUUUGCCGGGGAGCAAAGUGCCGCACGUGUGCGGUUUGGAGAGUACCCGGAGAAAAAGCAUCGGCUAACUCCGUGCCAGCAGCCGCGGUAAUACGGAGGAUGCGAGCGUUAUCCGGAUUUAUUGGGUUUAAAGGGUGCGUAGGCGGUCCGUUAAGUCAGCGGUAAAAUUGCGGGGCUCAACCCUGUCGAGCCGUUGAAACUGGCAGA